rnacentral:rRNA from 1 species
AUUGAACGCUGGCGGCAGGCCUAACACAUGCAAGUAGAGCGGAGCGGCGGACGGGUGAGUAAUGCCUAGGAAUCUGCCUGGUAGUGGGGGAUAAAGUCCGGAAACGGGCGCUAAUACCGCAUACUAUCAGAUGAGCCUAGGUCGGAUUAGCUAGUUGGUUGGGUAAAGGCCUACCAAGGCGACGAUCCGUAACUGGUCUGAGAGGAGGAUCAUUCAAAAUGGAACUGAGACACUGUCCAUACGCCUACUGUAGGCAGGAGUGGGGAAGAUUGGACAAUGGGCGAAAUCCUGAUCCAGCCAUGCAGCGUGUGGGAAGAAGGUCUUCGGAUUGUAAAGCACUUUAAGUUGGGAGGCGUUACCAACAGAAUAAGCACCGGCUAACUGCGUGCCAGCAGCCGCGGUAAUUC